rnacentral:rRNA from 1 species
GACGAACGCUGGCGGCGUGCUUAACACAUGCAAGUCGAGCGGUAAGGCCCUUUCGGGGGUACGACGAGCGGCGAACGGGUGAGUAACACGUGGGUGACCUGCCCUCAGCUCUGGGAUAGGCCUGGGAAACCGGGUCUAAUACCGGAUAUGACUCCAUGACGCAUGUUGUGGGGUGGAAAGCCUUGUGCGGCUGAGGAUGGGCCCGCGGCCUAUCAGCUUGUUGGUGGGGUGAUGGCCUACCAAGGCGACGACGGGUAGCCGGCCUGAGAGGGCGACCGGCCACACUGGGACUGAGACACGGCCCAGACUCCUACGGGAGGCAGCAGUGGGGAAUCUUGCGCAAUGGGCGAAAGCCUGACGCAGCGACGCCGCGUGAGGGAUGACGGCCUGG